rnacentral:rRNA from 1 species
GACGAACGCUGGCGGCGUGCUUAACACAUGCGAGUCGAACGGAAAGGCCCUGCUUGCAGGGUACUCGAGUGGCGAACGGGUGAGUAACACGUGGGUGAUCUGCCCUUCACUUCGGGAUAAGCUUGGGAAACUGGGUCUAAUACCGGAUAGGAGCCAUCUUUAGUGUGGUGGUUGGAAAGUUUUUUCGGUGUAGGAUGAGCUCGCGGCCUAUCAGCUUGUUGGUGGGGUAAUGGCCUACCAAGGCGGCGACGGGUAGCCGGCCUGAGAGGGUGUACGGCCACAUUGGGACUGAGAUACGGCCCAGACUCCUACGGGAGGCAGCAGUGGGGAAUAUUGCACAAUGGGCGCAAGCCUGAUGCAGCGACGCCGCGUGGGGGAUGAAGGCCUUCGGGUUGUAAACUCCUUUCGCUAGGGACGAAGCUUUUUUGUGACGGUACCUAGAUAAGAAGCACCGGCUAACUACGUG